AGCAGCGUGGCUCAGGGGAAAGAGCCCGGGCCCGGGAGUCCGACGUCCCGGGUUCGAAUCCCGGCUCCGCCA
rnacentral:tRNA from 1 species